GCCCAUGGUUUAUAAGGCAGGCCUCUGCAGUGUGUUCUGAAAUGCUUCAGACCAUCAUGGGCAUCAAGAUGGAGUCACAGACUCAGAUCUUCAUAUUCAUGUUGCUCUGGUUGUCUGGUGUUGAUGGAGACAUUGUAAUGACCCAGUCUCACAAAUCCAUGUCUGCAUCAGUAGGAGACAGGGUUACCAUGAACUGCAAGGCCAGUAAGAAUGUGUAUAGUAAUGUAGCCUGGUAUCAACAGAAAUCAGGACAGUCUCCUAAACUGCUUAUCUAUGGGGCAUCCAACCAGUACACUGGGGUCCCUGAUCGCUUCACAGGCAGUGGAUCUGGGACAGAUUACACUCUCACCAUAAGCAGUGUGCAGGCUGAAGACCAUGCAGAUUAUUACUGUCAGCAGUAUCAAAAUAUUCCUCCCACAGUGCUUCAGCCUCAUACACAAACCACUGAUAUUCUAACCAGCUGCCUGUACCACACAUCCCCAGACUUAUAUUCUUCCCCUUCUGCCUGCAGCUGA